GAUGAACGCUAGCUACAGGCUUAACACAUGCAAGCCGAGGGGUAACGAGAGGAAAGCUUGCUUUCCUUGUCGACGACCGGCGCACGGGUGAGUAACGCGUAUCCAACCUGCCCCCAACUAGGGAAUAACCUUGCGAAAGUAAGACUAAUACCCUAUAAUUUCCUCAGAUGUCAUCUGACGAGGAAUAAAGAUUUAUCGGUUGUGGAUGGGGAUGCGUCUGAUUAGCUUGUUGGCGGGGUAACGGCCCACCAAGGCAACGAUCAGUAGGGGUUCUGAGAGGAAGGUCCCCCACAUUGGAACUGAGACACGGUCCAAACUCCUACGGGAGGCAGCGGUGAGGAAUAUUGGUCAAUGGGCGGAAGCCUGAACCAGCCAAGUAGCGUGCAGGAUGACGGCCCUAUGGGUUGUAAACUGCUUUUAUACAGGAAUAAAGUUAGCCACGUGUGGUUAUUUGUAGGUACUGUAUGAAUAAGGACCGGCUAAUUCCGUGCCAGCCGCCGCAGUAA
rnacentral:rRNA from 1 species